GAUGAACGCUGGCGGCGUGCUUAACACAUGCAAGUCGAACGGAAAGGCUCCUGCUUGCAGGGGUACUCGAGUGGCGAACGGGUGAGUAACACGUGGGUGAUCUGCCCUGCACUUCGGGAUAAGCCUGGGAAACUGGGUCUAAUACCGGAUAGGACGAUGGUUUGGAUGCCAUUGUGGAAAGUUUUUCGGUGUGGGAUGAGCUCGCGGCCUAUCAGCUUGUUGGUGGGGUAAUGGCCUACCAAGGCGUCGACGGGUAGCCGGCCUGAGAGGGUGUACGGCCACAUUGGGACUGAGAUACGGCCCAGACUCCUACGGGAGGCAGCAGUGGGGAAUAUUGCACAAUGGGCGCAAGCCUGAUGCAGCGACGCCGCGUGGGGGAUGACGGCCUUCGGGUUGUAAUCUCCUUUCGCUAGGGACGAAGCGCAAGUGACGGUACCUGGAGAAGAAGCACCGGCUAACUACGUG
rnacentral:rRNA from 1 species